rnacentral:rRNA from 1 species
AACGAACGCUGGCGGCGUGCCUAACACAUGCAAGUCGUGCGAGAAAGUUCCUUCGGGAGCGAGUAAAGCGGCGCACGGGUGAGUAACACGUAGGUAACCUGCCCCCCAGUCUGGAACAACUAGAGGAAACUCUAGCUAAUGCCGGAUGAGACCACGAUCCCUGCGGGGGUUGCGGCCAAAGAUGGCCUCUACUUGUAAGCUAUCGCUGAGGGAUGGGCCUGCGGGCCAUUAGCUUGUUGGUGAGGUAACGGCUCACCAAGGCUGUGAUGGCUAGCUGGUCUGAGAGGAUGACCAGCCACACUGGGACUGAGACACGGCCCAGACUCCUACGGGAGGCAGCAGUGGGGAAUAUUGCGCAAUGGGCGAAAGCCUGACGCAGCGACGCCGCGUGGGUGAUGAAGGCCCUCGGGUCGUAAAGCCCUGUCGCAGGGGAAGAAUAAGCAUCGGUAUAAUACGCCGGUGCCCUGACGGUACCCUGCAAGAAAGCACCGGCUAACUCCGU